rnacentral:rRNA from 1 species
GUGGGGAAUUUUGGACAAUGGGCGCAAGCCUGAUCCAGCAAUGCCGCGUGCAGGAAGAAGGCCUUCGGGUUGUAAACUGCUUUUGUACGGAACGAAACGGUCCUGGUUAAUACCUGGGGCUAAUGACGGUACCGUAAGAAUAAGCACCGGCUAACUACGUGCCAGCAGCCGCGGUAAUACGUAGGGGGCAAGCGUUAAUCGGAAUUACUGGGCGUAAAGCGUGCGCAGGCGGUUUGGUAAGUCAGGCGUGAAAUCCCCGGGCUCAACGUGGGAAUUGCGCUUGUGACUGCAAGGCUGGAGUGCGGCAGAGGGGGAUGGAAUUCCGCGUGUAGCAGUGAAAUGCGUAGAGAUGUGGAGGAAUACCGAUGGCGAAGGCAGCCCCCUGGGAUAAUACUGACGCUCAUGCACGAAAGCGUGGGGAGCAAACAGGAUUAGAAACCCGGGUAGUCC